CCAUCCUCUAAGCCUUUACUUAGCUAAUAUUCGAUAGUGCAUUUAGUACUGUGAAGGAACGUUGAAAAAAAAGUUCACUCCCAAUGAAAAAUCUGAAUUUUAAUGCUAUUAUCUGUUGGAGCUUUUUCUAUUUUAGUGACAGCGUACCUUUUGUAUAAUGGAUCAGCGACUUUGUAUUAAUGGCGAGCUUAACCUUUUGAGGGU
rnacentral:rRNA from 1 species